ensembl:lncRNA
CGGAUGGGUGGUGUUCCCUCUGGCGGCUCUAAACCCGGCUGAGCGCGGGCGUGCCCCUGGAGCUGAGGAGCGGCAGGUGCUGGGGUCACGCCGCGUUUGCGGAGGGCGUGGCGCUGCCGCGUGAGGUCACAGGAGGCUGAGGCCUGAGGGACGUUGUCGUCGGCCUGCCCGCCUUUGGAAAUCGAGAUCGGGGUGAAAUUCCCAAUCUGUCGCAAGCCUUUCCUGUUUUGUUCGUGCAGGCUCAGGGUGGAAGCCGUGCUCGUGGAGGGGCCGCUGGGACCCGCUCGGUUCCCUGCGGGGAUGCGCGGGCCGCCCCGGCUGCCCGUGGACGCGCCGCUCCGCUCAGGAUGCGCAGCCACGUGCUCCGGGCAGGGCGCUCGUUUGAGCUGAGAAGGCAGCCUGAGAACUGGCGCCCUGUGGUGGCACGGGGACCGCGUCCGCUCCGACCCCAAUGACCUCGUGGGUUGGGUCUCCCUCUCUCCUCGCUGGGUCCCUUUCUCUGCUUUUCUUUCAGAAGCUGGCUUCUCUCUUCUGCUUGUCGGUUCCUGUCUGUGUGUCUGUCUGUCCCCUGGUGUCCAGCCUCAGCAUCUCGGGUUCCAAGUGGCCUUUGCGGGUUUGGGGGGUGGGGGCGGGGCGGCAGCAGGCUGACAGGAGAGACUCACCCUGCGCCUGCCAGCUCUGCGGUAAAUGUGUGUGGGGUGGAGGACCCCGCCUGACCCGGGCUGACCUUCUCAGGCCCAGGCCCAGUGAGGGUGUCCUGCUCCCCUGUCCCCAGCAGAGGAGCCCGCAGGACGUCUUAACCCUGGACAAGCUAUGUGGCUGGCUUUCAAUCUCCUAAAAGCCUCUCGCAAACUUCUGGGCUGCAGGGCAACCCGCAGGGGCUCAGCGGGACCCACCUGGUGCAGUGGCGGUUUGCCGGUGAUGCAUCUUUUGCGGUAGGAGCUAUAAAUCCCCACUGAAAGAUGAGAAAUUAAGCCCUGGAGAGGCGAAGCGGUUUCCUCAAGGUCGUCCCUCUAACAAGUGCUGGGCUGCUCGUGCGGUCCGGGCCUGCCCGGCUCCAGCUCCGAGUGAGCCCACUUAGUCGCAUGCCAGGGGCCUCUGCGGCACGGGCCAGUAGGAGGCCAGAUUAAUCGCUAUGACAAAUGAUCUCCAAACCUCUGUGGCUGAACACAAUAAAAAGUCACUCACGACUUCCAGAACAAACGACCAUGAGUGUCCUGGUCAGGUGGCUCUCCUGGGCGCUGUCCUCCCAGCGGUGACUCGGGGACCCGGGCUCCUUCCACACUGUGGCUCUGCCAUCACCUCGGGCCUCGGGUUCCUCCGCUGGAUUCUGUCUGUCUACCAGCAGAUGAGGGAAGAGUGGAGGGCUCUGUGUGGCCUUUCCUUGGCCUGGGCCUGGCGGUAGGGCCCACGUCUACCACACUCCAUUGGCCAGAAUUCAGACACAAGCUACGAAGAAAGCUGGGAACUACAGUGUCGUUUUGCGCCCAGGAAGGAAAGAAGUGGUUUGGCAAACAACCAGCCAGUCUCUCUUGUACGAGGCUCCAGUCUGUGUUUCCAGUCUCAGCUCCUAUGACUUCUUGGCCACCAUCUGCUAAGAGGAUUGUAUGAUUUGUUCACAAUUUUUCUUUCUCUAACCAUCAUUGUGUGGCUCAUCCUGGUCAGGUGUACUUCCCGGCCCUGCUGACUUUGGGACCAGCCAUGUGACUUGCUGCAACCCGUGGAGUAUGGGCAGACGCAGGGUGUGUCUGUGCACUGGGGCGCUUUCACUGUGGCCGUGUGGUUCGGCUUGGCCUCUUGCACGCCUGCGUUGCACCUUGAGAAGGGUAUGUUGCUCCUAUGGCCUGGAUCCUGGCAGGAGAGGCAUGUGAGCAGACCUGAACUGGACCCACAGGCUGGAGCAGAGAUGCUCAGCCAACUUGCAAACCUGUGAGCAGGAAACUAAAGCUUAUGGUUGUAGGCUGCUGCUGCUUUGGGGUUGUUUGUUACACAGCACUCUUGUGUCCUAGCUGACCCGUAUAGCUUACUGCCAUGAUGGAGAGAUGCCCACAUACCCUGAGCCACCCCACUCUCCCACGCUCCAUGAUGACUUGCUGCUGGCCCUCCUUAAAAGCCUUUCUUCUUGAUCCCUCCAGAGGCCAGGCCAGAGGCAGACCCUUCCACAGAGCGUCUCUUACUGUCCCCAGUCCUUGGGCAUUCAGAAGUGGCAGAGGCUACUGGCUCCUCAGUUCAGUUCUUGUCCACAGUUUUCCUGGUCAUCCUGUUUUCCCCACCGCCUGGAGAGUGGUGCUUUUGAAGGCAGGAGCCACGCUAAUUCCCUCUUUCCUCUAGCCACUGCUCCUGUGUCCCCCACACAGUUGACAGUCAGACAGUGUUUGCUAAACUGGAUUGAUUUGCAUGUCUGUCCCUGUUAAUGGGAGGUCCGUAGGGCACAUCGAGUGCUGGCAGGCGUCCCUGAGAGUGCCGGCCGUGCUUGGUGCUCAGAUGAUGGGUCUGCCACUGCCUAUGUGGAAGAGGGGCUGCGCCGCCUCCCGCGCUCUCGGCUGGAGGCCUAGGCUCAGCACGGGGCCAUCCCUCUCCCUCCCCGAGCCCUUGGUGUCCGAAGCCUGGGUCAGGAGGGAAAGCGGCAGCCUCACACCUUGGCCCGCACAUGCCUUGGGGAAGCCAGUGGACUUCGUCAGCAACGGCCCCGGCUGCCAGCAUAAUCCGUCUGUGGUCCUCAGAGCACCGUCUGCAGCUCGGGUCCUGCCCUGCACUGGAGGGAGAUCGUUUGCAUCAUGAUGCUUGGGGAUGCUCAGUGUUGGUGUCUGUGAGCCAGGUGACAGGGCCAUCUCUGGGUUAGUCGUGCUCCUCCCAAAGUGGGUGGCGGGCGAGUCUUGGACAGGCCUGUACAGUAGUGGCCACCCCGGCCGCACCAGGCCCUGCCCAGCUAAAGCUGUGGGUGUGUGCGUGUACCGGCCGUGUGGACCAAAGCUGGGUCACUCCCCUGGCAGGCGCGAGGUCGGGGCAGUAGCACAGUUAAGCCUCGUCUGCUCUGCAUCCUCCUAAAGUCAGGGCUCGCUUGUUUUCUCUGUGCAAAGAAAGAGAUGAGCAACACAAACAGCUGCAGUGGGGGAUUCUGGUUGCAUUAAUUGUCUACUGCUGUGUAGCAAAUUACCCCAAGGUUAAUGGCAUAAAAAACAAUGAAUGUUUCUUAUCCUCGAGGUUUCUGUGGGUCAAGAAUUCAGUGUGGCUUGGCCAGCUGGUUCUGGCUCAGGUCUCUCACGAGGUCGUCGUCCUCUGAAGCCUCCGCAGUGGCUCACCCGCAGCACUGGCUGGUGCUGGAGCUGGCAGGAGGUCUCGGUUCUAGCCCCCCAGUCUGCUGCUGUGUCCUCCCGACCUCAGAUCAAGCGACCCAAGGGAACGAGAGAGAGCCAGGCAGACGCUACCCUAUUUAUGACCAGGCCUUGGCCAUCGUACAGCGAGCGGUACCUCUACCACAUUCUGUCCCUUAGAAAACAGAGGGGCCCCAGGCCCAGACGGAGCCUUGGGCAGCAAAGGACAGCCCAUUGACACGGACCAGCUGAGGCAGGAAAGGGACAAGACACUCGAGAGAGCGUCUCCACAGCAAGUACGGGGUUGAGGGACCCAGCAAGGCCGUGCCGGGCAGAGCUGCUGGACGAGGUGUGUGUGUGAGUGAGCUGGAGGUGGUUGGCAGGAAAAGCACCCGUCCCGGCUGAGCCCAUGCUCCUGGGGCUGCGGGGUCAAGGAGACAGUGCACAGCUGGCCGGGCCUUCAGGAUCCUGGAGGUGCUCGGGGCAGGCGCCUUCAGUCAACACUCCAGGACACCGGGUCCCGGGGAAGCAGUGAAUUGCCUGUCAGGAGCCACGCCUGGCAAAGAUGGAAAAGGAAAAGGCUGUUAUCGACGGAGCAGGAGGGGUCCAGGCUGGAGGCUGGAGGGAAGUCACCACGGGCCCGGACGGUCAGGACGGCUUCCUCCUUCCAUCUGGCCUUCUCUGCUCCACCUCUCCAAGGUGGGACAUGCUGUGUCAGCCCUGUGUGCUCCCAGGCCCCGCACCAGCAGCCCAGUCCCUGCUCCAGACUCACGGGAGGAUCUGAUUGGCUCGGCCCCUCCCUGGCGUGUGAUCUCCAGUGUGCAGUCAGCCGGGACCAGGGGGCACGUCCCUGCAUCCUGGGCUUUCCCAGGUCCCAUCUCUGCUUUGGCACUGUUCCCAGACAACGUGUGGAGCAGACACCCUAGGAUGGGGCUACUGCCGGCGCCUGUGGUUGAUGGAACUCUCGAAUGCAGUGUCUCCCCAGCUGAGCCAGGCAGCUUCCCCUUCUGCAUUCUCCACGCCUGCGCACUGACUGCGCCCGUGGAGGAGGGCCCUGCUCCCUGGAUCUCCCCCUGCCAGGGCUGCAGGAGACUCCCUGGAGGCGUGUGGUCGGGGUGGGCUGUGAGAACCCUGAGGCACCCCGCUGAGCUGCGGGCGUCAAGCCUCUGUCUUCCCGGGUUUGCUUCUCCCUCUUUUCCAGUCUAGUUAGAACAUUUGCUGAGUGUCUGCCGUGUGCAACAAGCUCAGGAAAGAGAGGAUCGGGUGAGACGGAUCAGUGGAGGGGGCAGGUCCCAGCGACGCAGGCAGGGCCGGGCCCACCGCCUCAGUCCCUCCUCCUGGCCUGUGAGGUAGCCCCCCAGGCUGCUUUGCCCCAUACUCCGGGGUGUGGGAAGUUUCCGCGUCAUGGCCCCCCGCAGGACGGCUUCCCUCCCCCUCUCCCUUGCCCCCCAGGGCUUUGUAAGAGUCGCAUGGGACAGUGUGCAUGAAAGCUCUAAUUAAGAGUAAAGGAUUACAUGAGUGUAUUUUUCAGUCAAAACCAUAAAAGAAACCUUCCCUAAGGUUGGCCCAAGUGCUCCUGCUGAUGUGGGAGGAAGCUGGGUCUGGGGGCUGCAUCCUCCUCCCUGGCACGGAGUACGUGCGAGCUUUCGGGGUGCUGAGGAAGGUGGGCCUUGAGGACCGGGCUGAGAGAGCUGGCUUUGAUCCUGUUGGCAGGGCUGUGUUGACAACAGUCUUCUGGGAGGGGACCAGCCCACGCAGAGCUGGGGUCCCACGUCCUUUCUCGGGGCUCUGAGUCAGUUCUCAGGACACCGUGUGGCGGCUCCCAGUGGGCGUGCCGGUUGUGCAUCCGAGUGUGCUGCAAGGUGUAUGCUGCUCUCACGGCCCCUCUCCCCUCCACGGGCCGCAGUCCUGGACACGCUGGGAGAGCUUCUCCUGGCAGCAGGGCGGGGGGCUGUGCAGCCUCCCCCGCCGAGUGGCUUUGCCGCAUCCUUGCACACUCCUCCCCCAGACCCCACGCUUCACACCGCCUCCGCCUCUCGGCUCUCCUCCUCUCUUCCUCAUUCAGGGCGCUGGGUUUUGGUGCUUGUUGCCCGCAGCGGCAAAGAGCAAGGAAUGACAGGUACCGCCAAGACUACUUGGCUAUUUAAGCAAUCAAAGUUUAUUGAUAAAGGGAAAAAGAACGAGGAGCAGGAACAAAGGGGAACAACAAAUCGGUACUCACAACAUCCACACCGCAAUCCGCCGGGGAAGUCCCAAUAGUCUGUAUGGCAGGUGGGAUGCCGAUUGUCCGGGUCUGAGGCACAGCAUCCUCUCCUCAGCGAGACUCCCAAUUGUUCUAUGCUGUGACUCCCUUUUAUCCUGAGGUUCUUCCUCUGGGUUCUGACUCAGGGUUUCAGACAUUUGGAUAAUUUGAGUUAUUUCUUCUUGUUCCCACAGAUGGGAUGCUUCUCUCUUUUUUGUUCCCGUGGAUGGGAUGUUUCUAAAGUCCCAUCAGGUGCCCGUCGGGGUGGCCAGCCCAGACAGGGAACAUGACGCAGGACAUAUUCUUUGUAACUUGUGCCUUAGAGUCAGGGCUGAAGUGGCCGUCUUUGGCCCCGAGCCCAGACACAUUCCUUCACGUAGGGCGCAGGCCCAGUGUCCUUGGAAGGCGGGGAGGUCAAUGAACUCUGCAUAGUGCUGGAACCUGGUCUGAGGUCCAUCUCAGGCCCCUGAGUUCUGAGUUCACCUGGACCCCCUCCCCAGCAUCGGGACCUCUGGACGAGAUCCCUGAGAAUCAUCAGAUCGUACUGACAACGGCUGCCCAGAUGCUGGCUCGGUGGAAUCUUGGGUCCACGUCGGCCCCUUGUCUGUGCUGUUAGUCCGCUCCCGCGCCCUCCUGCCGUGGUGAGGGCGUUCAGAGCCCCCGAUCUACUGCAACAGCCAUCAGGGGAUAGAAACGAGGCUUUGCCCCUCAACUAGUCCCCUGACCUCUCACGAGGGACAGCACUGGACCUGGUUACUCACAAUGUCUGUUAACCGUGAAGUCUUUCCUGUGAGGUUGGGAGCUCCUCGAGAGAAGGUGGCAUGUCUUACUCAUGUUCCCGUCCUCAGAACCAAACAUGGUGUCUGUAACUGGUAAGUGUUAAUACAGCAGGGAUGGGUGCCCAGCCCAAGCCAGGCCAACUUCUUAUGGAGCCAAGGUAGGGAGGGGAAGCUUUCCCUACGGCUGGAGCUGCUCAUCUGGAGGCUGAUGGCCUGGGGCUGCUGGUCGGCCUCUUGCAGCCACACAGAGCGAGCCUUCCUGAGAACGACGUCACUGGGGGAAGCCAUUCACGGGGAGAGGUAGGUUCCCAGUGACGACAUCAGGCACCUGGAUGUCAUUGACUUGAAGCUGAGAUGAGCCUCUCUUUAGUUUCAUAAGCCAAUGUAUUCCCACUUUAGUCUGAGCCAGAUGAACUGGGCCUCUGUUAUUUGCCACCAACAUCCUGACUACUCCAGGGAUCGUCCAUCGGUGCGUUAGCUGAGCAGGCACUCGGCCAGGCCCCGGAGAGGCCAACCCCGCCUCCCGCUGCAGUCGCAUUCCUCCCGGCCAGCUCCAGGGCUAGCAGGGCUCGCCCGUUUCCACACUGUCACUCAUGCGGCCCUGGGCCCAGUGCUCCCAUGAAAGAUGGGUCUGGACCUGUCAUCAGAUUGCACAUUGUCCCCUGCGCCUGGUUAUGAAGUCUUUGGCAAAUCAGUUCUUUAUGGCCUUUUAAUCAGGAGGAGAUAAACAGGAGAAGGAGCUCAAAGAAAUUCUUCACAGAAGACUCCAAGCACUGUUCGUCCAGGAGGCCGUGGCUGCCCCCGUGCAAAGGUUCCGGGAGGCUGGGAGCCCCAGAUCACAGGAGCGAAGGUCUGGGCUCUCAGGGGGCCGAGAAGGAGUGUGUGAGGGGAAGGGAGGAAGAAAACCGAGCAUCUUCGUUCCACGGCUAAGCCCGCCCGGGGCGGGUGGGGAGCGACAUGGGCCUGGGACUGGAGUCUGCAGAGCUGACCCUGGGCCUCCAGCUGCCUCCCUGACACAGUCACUCACGCUGGGCACCUGCUGCCCCCUUGCCAGAGUGGGGCUCUUGGUCCACGGUCGCAGGCCUCCUGCCUCUGAAAGUUUGCAACGGUAAGACUGCUCUCGGGUCCUCAUCGGUGGUGCGGUCUGUGUCGACGGGCGCCCUGACCUGCGGGGAAAUGCGGAAAACAGGCCCGCGUGGUUUUUCAUAAAGCUAUAUUUAUUCAAUUGAAAGGACUUCCUUUUAUUCUGUGAUGGCACCUUUCCCACUCCUCUGGCCUCACAUAGUCCUUCCUGUGGUGAAAUGAUGGUGAUUAUAAAGAGUUGUUUACUUGGCAAAAUAAAAAGCUUUCAAUCGCACGUCCACCCGCCAGUGGUCUGCCUUCCUGACACUGCACAGCACUGUUGGCAGGACGCGGCUUUGCUCGGAUCACCCCGGGGACCCCAGCAGGCUGUCACCGCGCACACUUCUCUCUCUCCUGUGCGGUGGCAUACGGGACACCCCAGCCUCCCAGGGCAGGUGUCUGGUGAGGAGAGAAGGUUUCCUGGAGACCCGCAGGUGAGAGGGCCUUUUCUUGUAUGUGUAGCUCACAAUACCCUUUGGUGACUCUGAGGCAGCGUGUAGGCAGGAAUUAAGCCCCAUCUCACAAAUGAGGGGAGUCACCCUCGGAGAAGGUAAGCUGCAUGCUCAGAGUCCCUCGAUGGCUGUCAGAGGCUGGUGCCUCAGCCACGUGGCACCCGGAGGACUGCGUUGUGCGGACAAGAGCAAAGGUCUUGACCCCCCAGUGCUGAGGUUCUGCCCCUGCCACUGGCCAGUUCGUGGUCCUGGCCGAGGUCUUCCUCCUCUGGCUGGUUUCCGCUCCCGUCACAUGGGAUAAUGGUGAUGGAGGUCACGUGUGCAGAGCACCCGGGCACAGAGCAGCUCCCAUAAGCUGCCUUCCCUUCCAGCUCCAGGAUUUUGAGAGACCGGAUGGGCACAGACCUAGGCAAUUGAUGCUCUUGGAAGACAAGACACCCUCCCCCGUACCUACUUCCCACCCAGGACCACCCAGAUAGCACUGGUCAGCCUGCCACAGGGCUUGCCUUUGCACCAUUGCGUUGCCAUCCCUUUGCCCCUGGAAACCUUUGGGGGAAUUGCCUUCUGAAGCUGUGGGGGAUGCCUAGCGCCUCCUGUGGCUCCACACGGGAGUGCUUCUCACCAGGUACAGGCAACGCGAUGUUCUCCCUUCACUGCGCCCCAGGGGCUAGGUCCUACCUGCACCUCCUCAUCCAGAAGGGCUGCCCCGGGUGUCCCACCCCAUAAUUCUCCCCCUGUGGUAGCAGAUGCGUUCCCACCCCUGUGUCUCCCCUUUGGCCUGCACCAUUCGCAUGCACACCACGAUUCCACCGCAAACCCCGUGACUCCGCCUGAGGCUGUUCUCUGGCGGCAGGAACCUGCCUUGCUGCCCCAAUGCAGGGCAGCCUGGAGGUGCCUGGGAGUCCCCACCUCCAGGAGCAGCCCUCAGCCGGUGCCCCAGCUUCUGUGUCCUGGAGGGACCAUGCUCUGCACAGUCUCCCGAGGUCCCCAACAGGACUGAGCUCCAGUUGCCCAUAGCAGUAACCUGCCACUCAUGGCAGCACAACCUCUGUUGGCUUCCUCCUCCUCCCUGUCGCUCCCAAGCCACUGUCUGAGGCUCCCAGGAUCGCCUCCCAGUGAACAGGAGUCUUCAGCCUCCGCGUCUGUGGAAGCCAGCCUGAGUCACUGGUCCCAGGAACUCACCACACACGGAUUUCUGCAAGGGCCCUCGUGCACACCACACGUGCUGUGCUUGGAUCGCACCGUGGGUCAGGAUUGCCAGUGCUCAGGGACUAGCCAUUCUUCAGGGCUUGUGUCUGACAAGGACUCCUCCUGGAAGCCCUGUGCACUCCCAAGCGGAUUCCACCGCCUCCGCCUCUGUCCUCGGGUCACACAACGUGUGUCCCCAGAGUAGGGGCUAUCUGUUCUGUUCUGCUCUGCUCUGGGGUCACUUAUAUGUCACUCAGCCUCCUCACCACCCCAACCCCCAGGCCUGGGAGCUGUCUGCACUUAAGACCAGAGACCACCCCCUCAGAAGCCUGGAGCGGCCAGUCAGAUAACACCACUGAGUCCAGGGGCCAGGAGUCCAGCACAGGUAAGAGUGGGGCCUGGGAUGAACUCGAGAGCAAGUCCCACCAGAAUUUCAUUUGAAGGGAAAGAACAAACUGCCUGCUAAACGCGGAACAUCUGUGGGCCGGACGCUGAAUUGAAGGAAGAUCCCUUUCACCUGGGCGGGGGCGGAGGUCUCGCCUUUCUCAUCACAGCCCCAUGGCCCAGGAUGCAGCACUGCCUAGAGAGGGGGUGUUGUAUAAGCUCCUUCAUAACACAGAGGGAGUGGCGGGGCAUGGGUGGGGAGGGAGCCGUGCCGACAGUACCACUGUUCAGGACAGUCCCUCCCGGGUCUGGCUGCCCAGAGAGGGCAUGUUCUCACCUGCUCUCAGGCAACUCCGUCUCCGGGGUCUUCCUCGACCAGCACAGGGAGCGAAGAGCUCCAGCCACCUGGGUUUUUCUCUUCCCUUCGCGAUGGAGGCGCUGGUGACUGGGGCAUUUCUGGGUCCACACCCGACCUGGCUCACGACCUGUAUCUAGGCUGACCAGACUCCCGUGGGCCCUGUACCUGGGCCUGCGGGAGCACGAGAAGGCUCUCCCUGGGACACAGGGAAGUCUGUUCAGCCUCUCUCAUCCACUUUCAGAAUUUCUCGUGUCUGAUGCUACUGGCACAAUUAUCGACUGAAUAUUUUUCCUUAAGUAGGCUUCGUGUUCUCUCCCUCUCCCCAUGUGCUGGAGCCUAACUGAGACUUUCUCCUUGAUGCAAAUGCAAGGACUGAAAGAGCUUUGAAAAGGGAGCGGCUUCUUCCUCUCCCUCUGAUGGUCCAUGUUUUUUAAAGUCCUUUUAUUGCGUAAAUCAUCCCCAUUCAGACCCCAGUUUAGUUCAGGCACCCACAGGGAUUUUCACCACGGCCCCGCCCCCUCAGGGAACCUGCCUGACAUAGGAGGGGUCAGGACCAGGGUGGAGGUCGUAGGAAGCUGGGCUCGAUUUGGGAGAUGGGCUCGGGGGUCCCAACUGAAGCAGGGUUUUCCUCCUUUCCUCACCUUCUGGGAUCUAGUCUGGAGUUGUGGGGGGCCCCGACUUUCAUAGAAGUGCAGCCACAGCGAGCUCAGUGGAGUGCAGGGACAGCACCACACUCCUCAGGGCUGUGGGAGCUGAGGAUGGAGCCCUGCGGCCCUGAGGCCAUGAGUGGACAGAGAGAGGUGGGCAGGGGCCACCACACCAGAGAAGAGUGUCUCUACCUCGCCAGAGUUGCUGGCAGGUGCCAAGCUCCAGCCCAGGUACACGGGACCCCUGACCCUGCUCUGUUGGCAGGCAGGGGAGGGGAGGGUUCGGCACCCUGGGGUGCUUUGCCGGCAAUCUGGAGAGAGAAUGAGUGCACAUGUGUAGGCAGCUCUCUCAUCUCUGGGGGCUCCAGUGACGCCCAUCCUGGGGCUGUCUUGGUCGCUUUGCUCAGUCCAGUAUCAGGGUCUUUUUUCCCCGUUGUAGGGUCUGCAGCCUGCGGGAUGUGGACUCACAGAUGGGCAAUGUGUCCCUAGGUCUGGAUUGACCAGAAAAGCUGCUCCCUGGCCUCGGUGUGGGGAGGAGACACCACUCGUGCUCCUGGAGCCUCCUUCCCAGAGGAGGGCACCAACCCGGGGGCACUGACAGCUCUGAGGGAGCACCACCCCACGCCAAACUCAAUGGAGGGACCAGGCUGCUAUCUGGGGCCACCGUAGAGGGAAUUGCCUGCCUGCCACCUACCUAAGGGAUGGGCUCCCUUCCUCUGCUGGGACCUCCAUGGGCCUAUCGUGCCCACAAUCCAUGAGCCGUGGCCCCCAGGCAUUGCCAGGAAGCAGUCUACGUGAAAGGACGACGUGUCUAAUUUUGCAGCUACGUGGAGGAUUUGUCACACAGAACCAUCCGUUCAAUCUAGACCAUCACUAAAAGCACUCCGGAUAAUAAAUCUUCAUUUUGUAUUAACUGGAGAGGCAGCCGCCUUCUCAGAAUGGCUGUUCCCGCGUAAUCAUGAUAAAUGGAGAAUCCUGGACAGGAGAAGAGUUGCCUCGAGCUAACAUCUGUUGCCAGUCUUCCUCCUUUUUUCUUCUCCACCCCCAAAGCCCCAGUACACAGUUGUGUAGACUUGAAGCCUGAGGACUCGCACCGCAUCUAAGAUAACUGAUGAGAGAGAGGCUGAUUGGCUCACACCCUCCCUCCGCCUCGGCAGUCCCCUCCUCCUCUUCGUCCCUAGAGGCAAAUACAGCCAAAUGUGAAUGCGUGAACGGCUGCUGACUGGUAAUGUUACUUACAUCUAACUUCUUUUUGGUCAUUAAUCCUGCAAAUAUGUCUCUUUUUAUGUGGCUGCAAUUACCAAUUCGCUGCUUGUCAUAACAGUCAUUAGGAGUGGAAAAUAUUGUCAAAUGACUUACAGAGAAAGUAACCUGGGAACUUCAGUGUUUUUCUCCAUGGCGUCAGGACCAAGUAUUGGCUGAGCCCUGGUGCCUGCAGGACCUAGGUGUGGUCAGGGGGCUGGUUGUGGGGAGGCAAUAAACACUUAAGAGAAUUAAUAGUGUUUUAAGAUUUUAUUUAUUUUUAAAGACAGUGGCUUCCUUGUGGGUAGAAUAAGAGAGUCAGAGGAGAUCAGUCAUUUCCAACUCUGAGCCCACGGGCUGACUCCUCCUCCACUGCAAAAGGGGAAAAACAAGGACAGGUAGUGCUUAUGUUUAUAAGGCUAAGUUUACUUGCUACGAGGGACUUUAUUCCAAGAUUAUAUUCUGGUGGUUAGUGGUAAUAGAUGGCAACUUAAAAAAUGUCUUUGAUUAGCAAAAUAAAAGAGGCUAGCAACUUGAUGCCAGUUUCUCAAUUACUCCAAUCCUCGCCCCUGCCGCUCUUGUCUCCAACGUGGGGCCCAGGGAUCUUACCAUUUUUGUGCGGGGAGUUUGUAUUCACCCUUCAAGACUCAAAUAGAGUGUCACUUCCUCCUAGAAGGCUUCCCUGAUGACUCUCACUCAAAUUCACCCUGCAAGGGUGCCUGAUCUUCUAUGUUGCCACAACUCUGAGUACAUAUUUCUGCUGUGGCGCCUGGGAGUUAGGGUUGUAGUUUCUGUUGCAUUUCUGUUUCCCUCAGGAGAUAGGGAAGACUUGAAGGAGGUGAGGUGGUGGUCUGUUUCUUCUUUAUUUUUAUAGCCUGGGGUCUCCCUACUGGGAGUGACACAGGAAUCGGGGGCUCAGCAGAACACAGAUGGAAGCGAAAUGAGGGCAACUGAAGACGUUAUGCUAGGGACCAUCCACAAAGGUGUAGGCUGGGUGUAGAGCAGCCACAAGGCAUAGAAGAGGAGCCUGCAUCUGGGAAGGUCACCACAUCAGGAGGAUGGUGUGGACAGGGCUCCUGACAGGAACUGAGACCCAUCCAGGAACAGAGCCAGGCCACGGUGACAAGCAGGGAGAGAGACAAAGGACAGUGCCCAGCCUUUCCCUCCUCCCUCCAGGCUCCUGCAAGGACUUCCCCUUGGAUGGAACCCAGCUAGGAGGCAGGGGCAGGGAGUCUGUUGGUAUUGUCCGUGCAGGAUGACCUCAGCAGGCACAUGGCAAGAAGAAAAGGGUGGACAGUGAGCCUGAGGGGCAGACAGAAGACCUCCAGCACAGGAGUGCGCAGCAAGUGUGUUUGGAAUAAAUGACUCUUUCUGCACGGGUCAUUGGACCAUGCAAAUAUUUAUGCUUAGAGUGAGGUGACAAUGUUGAUGAUGAUGGUGACAAUGAGAACCAUGAUGGUGCUGGCGAUGUGGAUGAUCAUGAUGACAGCAGUGGUAGUGAGGCUGCUGCUGCUGCUGCUGGUGAUGAUGAUGACAAAUAGCUAACGUUUAUUGAAUACUUGACGCGUACUUCCACAUGCUAGGGGCUGAGCUAAACACUUUACAUACUUCACCUCAAUUACUUCUCAUGACCCUAUGAGAUGGGCGUUAUUAUUAUUAUUCCCUUGUUAGAGAUAGGGAGAUGGAGGCUCAGAAAGAGCAAGUGACUCGUGAGUGGCCACACAUCUUGGAUGGGCAGGAGCUGGUGUCCCAGCUUAGGCGUCUGACUCCAGAGCCAAGGUGAUCGCCGUGCACAACACUGCCUCACUUUCAGAUUGCUCGUAUGUGCGCACCAUCUCCAUUACCCUGUUCUGGAAUCUUCAGUGCAUUUCCAUUUCCCAAGAUCUCAAAUCCUGAGUCUGGAUUUCCAGGCCCCCCCAUUUUCUGGUCCCUUUCCAGUCUUACCUUCUGAUAUUUCUACCCACAAAGCACAC